CUUUGCAUAAAUUAUAUAAUCUUUUAUCUCAAUGCACAAUUUCUCAACACAUGGUGGCUAAACGUUUACAAUCUCCUGUAAAUGAACUAUAGUAUGUGAACCAUUUGAAAUUUCGGUGUCAUAUUGUUACAGUAUAAUCCAGUCAGAAAUUAGAAUGCCCUUGUUGGGCAAUGGACUAUUUUAAAACUUCAUCACCAUCGUACCUACACACAUAUAAGUGUUGUUCAGUAAAUAACCAUUUAUGUAUCAACUAAAUUCAGUAAAGGACUAUUACUAUGAGAAAAUCAAGUGUUGUUCAAAAAAGAAAAGUGCCCAUUAUCACUUCAGUUAUAACUGCUACUGCUAGCUGCUCUUGCUUCCCUUCGCAUUGUAAGGGUGUUGUAUUUAGCAACAAAACCUUGCAUAUCAAAUUAUAUGGAGAACAUAUGCUGCAAUGAACCAUUGACUGAUCUAAAAACCAACAUUGGCAUCCAAACUGGCCCAGCUCUCCAUCUAAAAAUAAUCUUAAAUAACAAAUAAAAAAAUUGCAACAUUAAGUGAAUUUGGGCUGAAGUGAAUUUGCCUUUGGUUGACCAAUAUUCUUCGUAUUUUUAUUCCAAUAUUCUUCAUGUUUGGUUGACCAAACACCAUCUCAUAUUAUGAUUUAUGAAGCGAUCAUUUAGUAACACCACAAUAUCCCAAAGUAGCAGGCAUUUUAUUUUCCUAAAAAGAAGUAGCCGACAUAUUCUUAAGCUUCUGUACAAGCUUUGCAAAGAAAUUUUAUAACCCCUCUAGAUUGUCUGAGCAACAGUACUGAUUCCAGAUUGCCGGUUGUAUCUCAAAUUGAAAUCAUAAGUUAAAUACUUGUGACAACCUACCCAGAAAGUCUCAAUCUCAAGUAUCAUUGCUUCCAAAUAAAUUACUGUGAUGCAACAACAGUAACUCGUAGAUGGCAACCAGAAUGAAAUUGUAUCAAAACGGACCAAAUCUUGCCAAUAAACCCAACACAUAAUAGAAUUAGACCUUGCAAUUAUGGCAAGUUACAGUCAUCAAAUUUAUCUGCUCUAAUUCGCAACAAGAAAACUUUGAUUUGUGAUAUGAUGAUGACCAGGCAGCCAAGGAGAAGUGGACAUGCAAGAGAGGAGUCGUGACUUGGCGACCAUGGUUGUUCUCUGCACAUACCUUGAUGCGGUGUUCGUCCUCCACCCCAGCAUCCUGCGUGUCCCGUCCUUGCCUCCCCGCGCCUUUCACACGACAUAUCUUCAACCUCCUAACCAUCUUUGAUGCACUGACGCUGAGUUAAGAAAUCUGCCAGGAAUGACAUCGGAAAUUAAUAGUCAAGCACAAUCCUUGAGAUAACAUGGUUAUCGUAAAAGUAUCAAUAUCUAUCAGGAGAUCAAACCUACUAAUUUAAACCACGCUUCAAAUCUUGUGCAACUUCUCC
rnacentral:lncRNA from 1 species